rnacentral:rRNA from 1 species
GAUCCUGGCUCAGGAUGAACGCUAGCUACAGGCUUAACACAUGCAAGUCGAGGGGCAGCAUUUUAGUUUGCUUGCAAACUAAAGAUGGCGACCGGCGCACGGGUGAGUAACACGUAUCCAACCUGCCGAUAACUCGGGGAUAGCCUUUCGAAAGAAAGAUUAAUAUCCGAUAGUAUAUUUUCUCCGCAUGGUGAGAAUAUUAAAGAAUUUCGGUUAUCGAUGGGGAGUGCGUUCCAUUAGUUUGUUUGGCGGGG